rnacentral:tRNA from 1 species
ACUUAAAUAGCUUAUAUUUAGAGCAUGGUAUUGAAGAUACUAAGGAAACUAUUUAGUUUUUAAGUA